GAGGGUAUAGCUCAGUGGUAGAGCGGGUGCUUAGCAUGAACAAGGUCCUGGGUUCAAUCCCCAGCACCUCCA
rnacentral:tRNA from 1 species